UGAGGUGUAACUCAGUGGUAGACUGCUUGUUUAGCACGCAUAAGACUCUGGGUUCAACUCCUAGCACUGCAA
rnacentral:tRNA from 1 species